UAGCAAGUAUUAUGAGUAAGGAAAACAACGAUCCGGGGUGAUGCCUGAAUCCUCACUGCUAAUGUGAGAAGAAAUUUUGAGCAGGUAAAGGUUGCCCCCCAAGGCGACCUGCCUACUUUGUGGGGUGCCUGGGUGUGGUGGUCUGCACA